GUCUCGGUCAGCUGUCCUUUACCCGCUCCCGGCGGUGUUCUCACGACGUCUGCAGGAAGGGGCGGAAGUUACUCAGUGACACCGUGCGUGAUCGUUAGAAUAACGCGCGUGGACUCUUCAAAGGACUGCUAAGUCUUGCUAAAUAUAUCUCAUGGAAACUCAAGAUUUAGUUGCUGUCAGACCUUGAGGUUCAAUUCUAAAAAGGCACAUAUUCAAAGACAAGGGGAGUUUCUUUCUGGCUUAGAAACCUCCUGUCUCAGGCUCUGAAACCAUUUUAGCAGCGAGAUGACUCUGCAAGUUGGAACCAAAUAAAAGGGAGGUGACUCAUUCCGCUGAAAACGUCACAGAUAAGGAGGUGCGUGUCCAAGUGUUUCGGAAUGAAAUGUAAUGCGAAGUGCAACUGACUUUCAAGUGGUUCAGCAGAAAAAAAAAAAUAUUGAGUUGCUCACUCGGGUUGUAUAAGAACUCACUCCUGUGGUGCCAUUACCUGAAGAAGAGAACACAGGAGGAGGAGGAGGUCUGGGGAAGGAGGAGUGGUUAAGAAACCUCAAGAAUAUGAAAAUUUGGGUGAAGAAAUUUGGAAAAAUCCAAUUUAUUCUUUCCCAUGAAGUCCUGUAAUAUCAGUCAGAUAAUUCCAGCUAAGAGUUUUGAUACUGAAUGAUGGAUUCUGCUCGCGCAGCAGCGCUGACAGGCAGGGUCUGUCAUUGCUCCCAUGAGAUAAAGUAUAGGAGGGUGCCUCAGGAAGGCCGUGAAGACCAUGGAAAGAAUGGGCUGCUCGGGCUGAUGUGUGCAUCUAGCCCAACUGACUGCUCUAUUUCUCACUGGAAAUUACUAACUCCAAUUUCGCAACUUCAGCAAGAGACCAUCUGCAGAAGUGGGCUGUCCACCGUCUCUGUUUCGCUGGCGUACGGUUCGCCUGUGCAAGGAAGUUCAUUUAAGCCAUUUAUUGGAAGAGGAAUGUCUGGUUUAGUCCAUGGCGACUGCCAGAGGUCACCGUGAACAACCAGCUGGCAUUCUGAAGACAGCUCUGUGCAGAUGCAGAAGGCAUGCUCGUGUGGCUGGGCUCAGCGAUGGAUGAGGAGUCACUUACGAUCAAGACUCUUCGAGCCUCAGAGAGAAGCAUCAGAGUUGGAGGCUAUUCAAAGAAUGUGGGUAAUAUUAACAACGUCAACAAGAAGGAUCUGUAGGUCCGAGGCCCACUGAGCUCCCGGGCGCAUCCAUUCCUCAGUCCUCCACUUUGCCCUCUGUCCACUGCUGGUCUGAUGUCCGUGGAAGUCCUUCCGUGCCAGCACUUCUGAAUCUACGGCUGCCGCGUCACAGAACCUGACUUCUGGUGCAGCCCCGCUUCUGACCUACCUGGGGCGCGUCUGCUUGUCGACGUUGACCGAGGGGUAGCUGUUGAGCGGCCGGUUCCGUCUUUCUGGGUGAAGAAGGGCCCCUCUGCUAACAUUUCGCGACUCUUUUUCAGUCCUGAAAUCAUGACGUCUCUCCCUCGGUCUCCUUUGACUCCCUGAAGAUGCUGAGACAACAUCUCUCUGGGAUGAUUUGGAAGAAGUUUGGUGGCGCCAGACAGUGUCUUACGCUCUAAGAUAAUUAAAAUCAUGAU
rnacentral:lncRNA from 1 species